GCAGCCGCCGCGGGAAUACAGAGGGUGCGAGCGUUAAUCGGAUUUACUGGGCGUAAAGCGUGCGUAGGCGGCUUCUUAAGUCGGAUGUGAAAUCCCUGAGCUUAACUUAGGAAUUGCAUUCGAUACUGGGAAGCUAGAGUAUGGGAGAGGAUGGUAGAAUUCCAGGUGUAGCGGUGAAAUGCGUAGAGAUCUGGAGGAAUACCGAUGGCGAAGGCAGCCAUCUGGCCUAAUACUGACGCUGAGGUACGAAAGCAUGGGGAGCAAACAGGAUUAGAUACCCCAGUAGUCCCUGUCUCUUAUAC
rnacentral:rRNA from 1 species